AUUGAACGCUGGCGGCAGGCCUAACACAUGCAAGUCGAACGGUAACACGAAGCUGCUUGCUGCUUCGCUGACGAGUGGCGUACGUGUUAGUAAUGUCUGUGCCGCUUCCUGAUGGAGGGGGCUACCUACUGGAAAUUGUUGCUACUACCGCAUAAUGUCGCAAGACCAGAGAGCGUGACCUUCCGGCCUCUUGCCCUCGCCUGUGUCCAGAUGGGAUUAGCUUGUUGGUGGGGUAACGGCUCACCAAGGCGACGAUCCGUAGCUGGUCUGAGAGGAUGACCAGCCACACUGGGACUGAGACACGGUCCAGACUCCUACGGGAGGCAGCAGUGGGGAAUAUUGCACAAUGGGCGCAAGCCUGAUGCAGCCAUGCCGCGUGUAUGAAGAAGGCCUUCGGGUUGUAAAGUACUUUCAGCGGGGAGGAAGGGAGUAAAGUUAAUACCUUUGCUGAUUGACGGUACCCGCAGAAGAAGCACCGGCUAACUCCGUG
rnacentral:rRNA from 1 species